CCUACGGGGAGGCUGCAGUGGGGAAUAUUGGACAAUGGGCGAAAGCCUGAUCCAGCCAUGCCGCGUGUGUGAAGAAGGCCUUCGGGUUGUAAAGCACUUUCAGUGGGGAAGAAAGCCUUGGGGCUAAUACCCUCGAGGAAGGACAUCACCCACAGAAGAAGCACCGGCUAACUCCGUGCCAGCAGCCGCGGUAAUACGGAGGGUGCGAGCGUUAAUCGGAAUUACUGGGCGUAAAGCGCGCGUAGGCGGUCUGAUAAGCCGGUUGUGAAAGCCCCGGGCUCAACCUGGGAACGGCAUCCGGAACUGUCAGGCUAGAGUGCAGGAGAGGAAGGUAGAAUUCCCGGUGUAGCGGUGAAAUGCGUAGAGAUCGGGAGGAAUACCAGUGGCGAAGGCGGCCUUCUGGACUGACACUGACGCUGAGGUGCGAAAGCGUGGGUAGCAAACAGGAUUAGAUACCCCAGUAGUC
rnacentral:rRNA from 1 species